CCUACGGGAGGCAGCAGUGAGGAAUAUUCGUCAAUGGGCGCAAGCCUGAACCAGCAAAGUAGCGUGAAGGAUGAAUGCCCUAUGAGUUGUAAACUUCUUUUAUGUGGGAAUAAAGUGGUGCGCGUGUGGGCUUUUUUAUGUACAUUAUUCUUAAGGAUAGGCUAACUCCGUGCCAGCCGCCGCGGUAAUACGAAGGAUCCGAGCGUUAUCCGGAUUUAUUGGGUUUAAAGGGAGCGUAGGUGGAUUGUUAAGUCAGUUGUGAAAGUUUGCGGCUCAACCGGAAAAUUGCAAUGGAUCCUGGCAGUCUGGAGUACAGGUGAGGUAGGCGGAAUCCGUGGUGUAGCGGUGAAAUGCUAAG
rnacentral:rRNA from 1 species